AUUGAACGCUGGCGGCAGGCCUAACACAUGCAAGUCGAGCGGAGCUGCGGACGGGUGAGUAAUGCCUAGGAAUCUGCCUGGUAGUGGGGGCUAGCGUCCGGACACGGGAGCUAAUACCGCAUACUCUCAGCUGAGCCUUGGUGGGAUUAGCUAGAUGGUGGGGUAAAGGCCUACCAAGGCGACGAUCCGUAUCAGGUCUGAGAGGAUGAUCAGGCACAUGGGAACGGAGACACGGUCCAGACUCCUACGGGAGGCAGCAGUGGGGAAUAUUGGACAAUGGGCGAAAGCCUGAUCCAGCCAUGCCGCGGGUGUGAAGAAGGUCUUCGGAUUGUAAAGCACUUUAAGUUGGGAGGCGUUACCAACAGAAUAAGCACCGGCUAACUUCGUGCCAGCCGCCGCGGUAAUAC
rnacentral:rRNA from 1 species